GAAGGAACCACCAAGUGCCUUUGUACUCAGUUCUUCUACCCCUUGGAGACGGUGCAGGGUUUGGGGUUGGGUAUUCAGAUCGAUGGCAGACACUCCAUUUUAAAGAUGAAGAAAGGUGGGCACAAAGAAGUUAACCAGCUUGCCCAAGUUCUCACAGCCGGGAAGCAACAGAGCCAGAACCUAAGAAGGCCAGGUUCUAAGCCUGUGUUCUCUUCACCAGUAUGCUGUGCUGCCAGUUGGCUGGUAGAUGGUCUCGCGCAAGUUUCUUCACUUUUUCUAGUUAAUAAUUUUAUCUGGCAAAGUGUCAACUUUUUUCAUCUGAAAUGUGGGUGCCUGUAUUGGCCUAGGAAGGAGUGGGCAUUGGAAUUGUUCAUGAAACUUUUAAAAGAAAUACACAUACAUAGGAUUCUUACCUUGUAGAUUUUGUUAGUAAGUUUGGGAUGCUCUUAUGCAUUCAAGUCUGUAUUACUGUAUUAGAUUAACUCAGUUUAUUUUUUGUAUAUCUAACAUUCUAAGAUACCUGGUUUGAAUGUUAGUAAACAACACAGAAAACUGAAUUGCAUAGUAAAUGCUUUGGAGAAAAUGAGGGCUAGAGUUCUCAAGGAAGGCUUGACUUGGGUUCAAGGGAAAUAUGUGGUUUAUAAACUCUGCUUCUCUGCAAACAGGAGCUUCAUGAGCUGAAACAAGAUGUACUGGUGUUGAUAAUAUGAAUAAAUGGCUAUUUCUUUA